ensembl:lncRNA
AACGAGCCAGGAAACUACAAAAUAAAACAGGAAACAAGCCCACACCGCGAGCUUAACUAAAUGACACGGCUGAGUCGGUCACGACCUUUUACAGUUGGGACAGAGGAAGAAAACAUCACCUCACAUUCCUCACUCUGCAUAACAGAACACGGGUUGAUUAUUAUGGAUCACUGUAGAAAAUAGCAAACAACAUAGAACAGCUGUGAACAUCCUGGCAUCCUUUGAGUAAACGCUCACACACGGAGCCUCCUGGAGACGCAGCCAUAUUUCACAAUGACAGCAGCAACUACUUUGAACCGCCCCUCAACUUUUCCUUUAAUUUUCUCCCCUGACAUCCCAUCCAUCAAUAACUGUCACGUUAUGAAGUUCGAGUGGGAGAAAAUUGUGUUUUUCUUUCCCGCUCAUCAAUCGACAUUACCAAAUGUUCAGGUUCAGCUCAAACCGCCCGAAUUACCUGCCGCGCCGUUCGCUGGCGACAUGUGGCGACAGCGGGCUCGGCCCAUUGCAGAGAGAAGGACCAUGUGACCUUUGCGCUCCGGCUGCAUUGAAUUCUUUGGCUAUGCUUCUUUAACAAUCAAUAAAAUCAACUUGGUGUCGACAUUUCAAACAUGGAGACGGGAGUGCCGAGUGUUUCACGUUCUGGCCACGCGCGCCUUGAGAAAUGUUCUCUGCUCGGGGGGGGGGGGGGGGCGGAUGCUUUAAGUGGGUCCCCUUCUGCACACAGGGACACUUGGUGAUACGAAGCGAUGCGGCGUCAUGGCUGCGCCCGGAUCCUCUAUGCAACGCAGGUCGGUACUUACAGGGUGGAGGACGUGAGGGGAUAGAAGGGGUUUGAUUAACAGUGGUGCAGUGAGUAAAAACAAACCAGACCCAAUCCCCUUCACACACACACACACACACACACGAUUCUGCUGCGCCUCACCACACAGUGCAGCGCUGUGGUUCAACAAUUCCCUCUGUGGGGAGCGAGGGAGGCUGCUUCAGCCCAGCCAACCAUUGGAAACUCAUUAUUACAAUAGUAAGUGAUGGAUCAUUUCCAAACGAUCUCCACGUACACCGUAACAAUUAAAUCACCAGCGAGGCAAUUACAGCUGGGCAGUAUAGCGGUGGGACGCUGAUAAAUUGCCGGACUUUAACCUUUGGGCUAGCGGACAGAUUACACUUAUUAAACCACAGUAUUAUUGGACCUAAUAAAUCCGUCGCACGGCCAUAUCAGCCUGCAUAACUGCAGAGUGGACGUUCUUCUCGCGCUGCGCAGGAGUCGUAUUUGAGGGGAGAACACGGCAGAAGGAAGGUGAGGUCACACGCGUCUCCCACUCUGUUCGUUUUUGCAUCCACCACUUCGGUCCCCAACCACUCGACCCUCUGAGAACCAGCGUGUUCCUCAGAGGACGAAUCCCAAAGACUUUGCUGAUCCCCUGACUCGUAAUUCAGCGCCAUCACCAGGUCAAAAUCUGUUUUUUUAAAGCUCGGUUUUAUGAUCAAAUACCUAAUUACUAGUGCUGGGCAUGAAUCGCAUUGUAACAUGCAGAAUUCUAAAUUACAUUCAAAAGCAGUGUGAUGUGCACUUUUUAUUUGAGCAAACACUUCAUUGAUGGAUACAUUAAACGUUGUUUUAUCUCUGUUCAGCAGCAGACGUUCCUGUUGGAGUGAAGCGGCCCAGCACUGAGCACACAGCUGGGACUUCCUGUGCAGGGACUUUUUAGUCUUUGAGGUCCAUGUUUGUACUGGAUUCACUUUGGAGAUUCUCAGUCAAAAAAAACACACUUUCAGUGAUGCAGGUUUUAAAUAACGUUGGUUCCAUCAACUCCAGCGUCUGUGAGAGAUCUAAAAUGAACUUGGGCCCGCCUCCAAAUGCUCCCAUUGGAUCAGACACGUGACGGUGCCCCUCCCACGCCAAUACUUACCGCUCUCCUCUGACCCAUAUUGUCUGGAUGUGGUAAUGUGCGAUACAAUAACUGUUAACCAAAAACAUUAGUAAAACAUCAACGCAGGAAUUAAUUUACAGGCGAACUUGCGUAGCCUCAAAGUCAUCAGCCUUUGCCGUCUUUGUGUUCGAGGCUUAUUAGAAACGUGCUACACCAACCUCAACCUGAACACACACUCGGAGCUUCAAUAUGUGUGAGACUAACUUGGGCUUUUCAUCUGGUUGUUUGGAAACAAACAGUUUAAUUUCUUUCGCUUCUGAAGUCAAAUCAAUUUUACAAGUAAAUGCGACAAAACAGAGCUUACAGUUUAUUAACUGUGACACAAACGCUCACACGUCAGAAGAAGACGGGAGAGGAAUUCGUUGAAAUCGGAGUCCCUGGGGGGGGGAAAUGACACGUUGAUGAAGAAUCGGGGAGAGAUUAAAGGAGAAAAGAUCUAAAUAAACUAACAAUUUCCUUUCCCGUUAAUGAGGACGGAUGCAUUGGAAACAAGGCGCUCAAUGAACUGGCUGUAUGUGGCCACAGUGUCUCUGUGGCCAGCCUCCUCCGCCUCUUUGAUCUUUCAUUAAAACACCCACACAUGUAUGCCCCGGUUACUUGAAACACCUAGUAAUAUGUGAAGAAUGCAAUAUUUGAUACGCCGAGGGAGCAGGUGGGAAUUUCAAGUCCUUGCAGUGAGAACCAGGACUCUGUUACAUCACUGCACAAAGUGCGUUUCACCUCCGUUACAUUCCCACGCCUGUUAGAGAUGCUGGGACUUUGUUCACGGCUAAAAAGAGAAAUAAUUCAAGCAGGAUCGCUGUUCAUUUUGUUAAGACAUCAUUCUGCAAAUUUGUCAGUUUUAAAAAAAAUUUUAAAAAGUAAUUUAGUUUGUUUCUAUACGACCGUUCCGAUCACUCUCACAGCUCUUCAAAUGGGUGGUGAUGAAUGAUUCUCUGGCCCCAACAUCCAUUGUACGACAGCUGUGGCGGAAAAUCACUGUCAAAAAUUCGAGCGCGUAAAUCGGUUUGAUGCGCGCGCGUAAAUCCAACAUCCGCGAGUUUGUCUCGCGCGAGAUAUUCGCUCACUGGCGGAACGUGAACUUCCCUGCUGGCGAGGCGAAUCUCUGCUCGCGCUCGAAGUGUUUCCCGUUUUAUUUAGUAGUUUUCUGGGUGACUUCACCUCCUGCCUUUGUCAUCGGGAUUGUCUGUCGUGAUAGUUUCCACCUGUGUCCAAUCACCUGCCCCCCCCCCUGUUCCUGGUUCCUGUCGCCGUUACAAACCCCGUCUGUGGAUUGGAGUGAUGCGUUCACACAACUAUAGAAGCCCGUUUCCGCACUAAUGAAACGGGAUAAAAAGUCGAAAUUAUGAGAUAAAAUGUUGUCAAAACACAAACGACACCUCUCUGUAAUAAUUCUUUAUUCUAAUACAUGUAACAGUUCAUCUUCUAUUAAAUUCAAACAGGAACGCUGUUCAUUUUGUUAAGACAUCAUUCUGCAAAUUUGUCAGUUUUUUUUAUUUUUUAAAAAGUAAUUUAGUUUGUUUCUAUACGACCGUUCCGAUCACUCUCACAGCUCUUCAAAUGAGUGGUGAUGAAUGAUUCUCUGGCCACAACAGCGGGGCCAUAUAUUUUUUAGCUUUCAAAAAUAACUGUUUGGAUUCCUGUGCUUUUGGUUUAAAAAAUAAAAGCCUGAUGAGGAAUGCUGGACAUUAAAUACCAUUUUAAAUGUGUUUGCAAAAGAUCUCUAGAUGCCAGCUCUACAUUUUGCGGAUUAACAGGAUAAUAUAAUUAUUGACUUCCCCAUGACAAUGGCGCUACAUUCAUAGACCUACGUGCCUUAACACAACAUUUCAACACAAGCAAAUACUUUACCACUUAUUCCUCCACUCGUGGUCAAAGGAAGUGCUCUGUUCCUUUUCUAAAGAACCCACUCGGCUGCACGUCCUCAGCUAUGACGUGGAAAGUCAUCCCAAGCCUGUAGUUUGUAUUUCUUCUUGUUACAACCAUGGCUGUGUUAUUUGCACGGGACUGCCAGCAGAAGCAACCCAGUCUCACAGCAACACGUGUCAUAGCUACGUUGUGGAGCACCGUGGGAUUCUCACGCUUUCUCCCCAAAAUCGUGACAAUACUACAUUUUAUUUCGGCCCAUUCAUUCACACCGCCUUGCAACUACGUCACUAGAAACUAAUAAACAGAAGGUCUCCUGUUCUCUGAUAGAAGAUUGUGAAAAUAUGACGCAUACUUCUCGCUAGAAAUGCCAUCGAAA